UCAUACCUUUUUCGAAGGGAUAGGGUCGGUUCGGCCGGAUUUUACACAGGUGUUGCAUGGCUGUCGUCAGCUCGUGUCGUGAGAUGUUGGGUUAAGUCCCGCAACGAGCGCAACCCUCAUCCUUAGUUGCCAUCAGGUAAUGCUGAGCACUUUAAGGAAACUGCCAGUGAUAAGCUGGAGGAAGAUGGGGAUGAUGUCAAGUCAUCAUGGCCUUUAUGAAGUGGGCUACACACGUGCUACAAUGGUGUCUACAAUGGGCUGCAAGGUGCGCAAGCCUAAGCUAAUCCCUAAAAGACAUCUCAGUUCGGAUUGUACUCUGCAACUCGAGUGCAUGAAGUUGGAAUCGCUAGUAAUCGUGGAUCAGCAUGCCACGGUGAAUACGUUCUCGGGUCUUGUACACACUGCCCGUCACGCCAUGGGAAUUGGUUUCACUC
rnacentral:rRNA from 1 species